rnacentral:rRNA from 1 species
CUCACCCUCCCUUGCCCAUACCGCCUAUAUACCACCGUCGUCAGCUUACCCUGUGAAGGCCUAGUAGUGAGCAGAAUUGGCAUCGCCCUAAACGUCAGGUCGAGGUGUAGCGUAUGAGAGGGAUAGAAAUGGGCUACAUUCCCUAUGCUUAGAGAACACGAAUGUGUAUAUUGAAACAUGUCACUGAAGGAGGAUUUAGCAGUAAGCGGCAAACAGAGCGUCCCGCUGAAACUGGCCCCAAAGCGCGCACAUACCGCCCGUCACCCUCUCCAAGCCUACAAUUCACCCUUAAAUAAACCCCUAAACCUGCAAAGGAGAGGAAAGUCGUAACAUGGUAAGCGUACCGGAAGGUGCGCUUGGUAUAAC